rnacentral:lncRNA from 1 species
CCCGCCUCCAUGCCCAUCCCAAGAUGGCGGAGAUCCCCCUGUACUUUGUGGACUUGCAGGAUGACUUAGACGACUAUGGAUUUGAAGACUAUGGUACAGAUUGCGACAACAUGAGAGUAACGGCCUUCUUGGACAUUCCAGGCCAGGAUAACCUGCCUCCACUCACUCGCCUGGAGAAGUAUGCUUUCAGCGAGAACACCUUCAACCGGCAGAUUAUUGCCAGAGGGCUGCUUGAUAUCUUCCGGGACUUCGGUAACAAUGAAGAAGACUUCCUCACGGUAAUGGAGAUUGUAGUCAGAUUGUCAGAAGAUGCAGAGCCCACAGUGCGGACUGAGCUGAUGGAACAGAUUCCUCCUAUUGCCAUUUUUUUACAAGAAAACAGAUCAAAUUUUCCAGUGGUGCUCUCUGAAUAUCUCAUACCUAUUGUAGUGAGGUACCUCACAGAUCCAAACAAUCAGAUAAUCUGCAAAAUGGCUUCAAUGCUGAGUAAGAGUACCGUUGAACGCCUGCUACUCCCCCGAUUCUGUGAACUGUGUGGUGACAGGAAGCUCUUUCAAGUUCGGAAGGUUUGUGCUGCAAAUUUUGGUGAUAUUUGUCAUGCUGUUGGACAAGAAGCCACUGAGAAAUUUUUGAUCCCAAAGUUCUUUGAGCUCUGCUCUGAUGCUGUUUGGGGCAUGCGGAAAGCCUGUGCAGAAUGCUUCACGGCUGUGUCGCACAGCUCCUCCCCUGGGGUCCGCAGAACCCAGCUCUUCCCGCUCUUCAUCAGACUUGUCAGCGACCCCUGCCGAUGGGUGCACCAGGCUGCCUUCCAGUCCCUCGGCCCCUUCACUUCCACCUUUGCAAACCCCUCCAGGGCUGGCCUUUAUCUUCGAGAGGAUGGCGCCCUGAGCAUCUGGCCACUCACCCAGGAUUUGGACUCUGGUUUUGCCUCUGGCUCCCCUGCUCCCAGCAGUGGUGGUAACACUUCCCCUGCCAGUUUAACUCGUUCAGCAAAGCCUGUGCGGAGCGAGCCAGAGCUACCUGUGGAAGGGACCUCAGCGAAAACCAGUGAUUGCCCACACAGCAGUAGCUCCUCUGACGGCCCAGCGGAAAGCCCUGUGGAAAGCUGUGUGUCGGCUGGAGCUGAGUGGACCAGGGUUUCCCCAGAGACCAGCGCCUGCUCAAAGCUUUCUGACAUGAAUGACCUCCCCAUCAGCAGCUACCCUGGAUCAGAUUCCUGGGCCUGCCCAGGGAACACUGAGGAUGUGUUCAGUCAUUUUCUUUAUUGGUGAACUCCUCUCCCUGACAUAAGCAAGGACUUAGAGCUGCUUCUGAGUGAGGCUGGGCCUCAGGAGGACGACUGCAGCAGACCUGGGGUUGUGCACAACAGCUGUGUGGCCCGGAGUGAGAUUCAGAAAGUCCUUGGUAGCUUGCAGGAGCAUCUGAUGAAUGAUCCAGAUGUUCAAGGUAAAUGUUGUUCAUUGUCAUUAAAGAGAAGAUGGGA